rnacentral:rRNA from 1 species
UCUUAGAGGGACUGGCACUUUAAACAAAGUGCCGAGGGAAGCAAUAACAGGUCUGUGAUGCCCUAAAUGUCCGGGGCCGCACGCGUGCUACAAUGACUAUGCUAGUGAGCAUGAUUAGCUGGUCCGAAAGGAUUGGCAAACCUGUUCAAUCAUAGUCGUUACUGGGAUUAGGGUUUGUAAUUAUACCCUAUGAACGAGGAAUUCCUAGUAAGCGCAAGUCAUAAGCUUGUGCUGAUUACGUCCCUGCCCUUUGUACACACCGCCCGUCGCUACUACCGAUUGAAUGGUUUAGCAAGGUUAUUGGAUUGGCUUUCACGGGUUCACGCUCGUAAUAGCUGAGAAGAUGACCGAACUUGAUCAUUUAGAGGAAGUAAAAGUCGUAACAAGGUUUCCGUAGGUGAACCUGCGGAAGGAUCAUUAUCUGUUAUAUUCCUGAAAUGUAGGAUAAGUACUAUCGCCUGACGGGCUCACGGGCCUGAGGGUGAUGGUUCUGUCCUACGAGUCUACCAUGCAUUUGAUCUGGUAUGACUCUCUAUUGCAAUGUUGUGGCUGGCAUGAGUCGAGGACUGCUUAUUGUGACCAAGUGACAGUGGUCGCAUCCGUAAUGUAUCAGUGGUCUCUCGUUCCCCUCUGCAGCCAUUUCUGUCAUUUAC